UACGAAGGGGGCGAGCGUUGUUCGGAUUUACUGGGCGUAAAGGGCGCGCAGGCGGCACAUUUUGUCAGGCGUGAAAGCCCCGGGCUUAACCUGGGAACUGCGUUUGAUACGGAUGGGCUAGAGUUCGGGAGAGGAGAGUGGAAUUCCCAGUGUAGAGGUGAAAUUCGUAGAUAUCGGGAGGAACACCUGUGGCGAAAGCGGCUCACUGGACCACAACUGACGCUGAUGCGCGAAAGCUAGGGGAGCAAACAGG
rnacentral:rRNA from 1 species